GACGAACGCUGGCGGCGUGCUUAACACAUGCAAGUCGAACGGAAAGGCCCUGCUUUUGUGGGGUGCUCGAGUGGCGAACGGGUGAGUAACACGUGAGUAACCUGCCCUUGACUUUGGGAUAACUUCAGGAAACUGGGGCUAAUACCGGAUAGGAGCUCCUGCUGCAUGGUGGGGGUUGGAAAGUUUCGGCGGUUGGGGAUGGACUCGCGGCUUAUCAGCUUGUUGGUGGGGUAGUGGCUUACCAAGGCUUUGACGGGUAGCCGGCCUGAGAGGGUGACCGGCGACAUUGGGACUGAGGUAGGGCCCAGACUCGUACGGGAGGCAGCGGGGGGGAAUAUUACACAAUGGGAGGGAGCCUGAUGCAGCAACGCCGCGUGCGGGAUGACGGCCUUCGGGUUGUGAACCGCUUUCGCCUGUGACGAAGCGUGAGUGACGGUAAUGGGUGAAGAAGCACCGGCUAACUACGUG
rnacentral:rRNA from 1 species